ensembl:lncRNA
AAAGCAGGCUGUGAAAAACACUCCAGAAAGGUUUUCUUUGAAAAAAAUAUCAUCAUGAAUUUUGGCACAAAAAAACGCUAUAGUAUACUAUGUCGAAAAAAAAUUAGAUUUUUCAACAUGUAAAAACGUGCCAUAUGAUGAAAUAAUUAAAAGGAGGCCGUGAAAAACACUAUGGUAAGGUUCUCUUUGAAAAAAAAAAUCAGGCUGUGAAAAACACUGCAGAAAGGUUUUCUUUGAAAAAAUCAUCAUGAAUUUCGGCGCAAAAAAACACCAUAGUAUACUAUGUCGAAAAAAAAUGCAAUUUUUCAACAUGUUCUAAAAACGUGCCAUAUGAUGAAAUAAUGUAAAGGAGGCCGUGAAAAAGACUCCAGAUAGGUUUUCUUUGAAAAAAAAAUCAUCAUGAAUUUUGGCGCAAAAAACGCCAUAGUAUACUAUGUCGAAAAAUGUCAUUUUUCAACGUGUUGUGAAAACUUGCCAUAUGAUGAAAUACUGUAAAGGAGGCUGUGAAAAACACUCCAGAAAUGUUUUCUUUGAAAAACAAUCAUCAUGAAUUUUGGCGCAAAAAAAAACACCAUAGUAUACUAUGUCGAAAAAAAAUGCGAUUUCUCAACAUGUAAAAAUGUGCCAUAUGAUGAAAUAAUGUAAAGGAGGCUGUGAAAAACACUCCAGAAAGGUUUUCAUUGAAAAAAAAUCAUCAUGAAUUUUGGCGCCAAAAAAACGCCAAAGUAUACUAUGUCGAAAAAUGUCAUUUUUGAACAUGUUGUAAAAACAUGCCAUAUGAUGAAAUAAUGCAAAGGAGGCCGUGAAAAACACUCCAGAAAGGUUUUCUUUGAAAAAAAAAAUCAUCAUGAAUUUUCGUGCAAAAAAACGCCAUAGUAUACUAUGUCGAAAAAAAUGCGAUUUUUCAACAUGUUGUAAAAACAUGCCAUAUGAUGAAAUAAUGUAAAGGACGCCGUGAAAAACACUCCAGAAAGGUUCUCUUUGAAAAAAAUCAUCAUGAAUUUUCGCGCAAAAAAACCCGCCAUAGUAUACUAUGUCGAAAAUAAAAUGCAAUUUUUCAACA